ACCAAGGCGACGACGGGUAGGGGACCUGAGAGGGUGAUCCCCCACAAUGGAACUGAAACACGGUCCAUACAUCUACGGAUGGCAGCAGUAGGGAAUAUUGCACAAUGGGCGAAAGCCUGAUGCAGCAACGCCGCGUGUGCGAUGAAGGCCUUCGGGUUGUAAAGCACUUUUCUGAGGGAAGAGGAAGGACGGUACCUCAGGAAUAAGUCUCGGCUAACUACGUGCCAGCAGCCGCGGUAACACGUAGGAGGCAAGCGUUAUCCGGAUUUACUGGGCGUAAAGCGCGUGCAGGCGGUUUGGUAAGUUGGAUGUGAAAGCUCCUGGCUUAACUGGGAGAGGUCGUUCAAUACUGCCAAACUAGAGGACGGUAGAGGAAGGUAGAAUUCCUGGUGUAGUGGUGAAAUGCGUAGAUAUCAGGAGGAAUACCAGUGGCGAAGGCGGCCUUCUGGGCCGUUCCUGACGCUAAGACGCGAAAGCGUGGGUAGCGAACGGGAUUAGAAACCCCGGUAGUCCAUGCUGUAAACGAUGCAAACUAGGUGUUGGUGGUGUAAAAGCCAUCAGUGCCGCAGCUAACGCGAUAAGUUUGCCGCCUGGGGACUACGGCCGCAAGGUUAAAACUCAAAGGAAUUGACGGGUUCCCGCACAAGCAGCGGAGCGUGUGGUUUAAUUCGAUUCUACGCGAAGAACCUUACCUGGGCUUGACAUAUAGGUGGUAGGAGACCGAAAGGCGACCGACCCUUCGGGGAGCCUAUACAGGUGCUGCAUGGCUGUCGUCAGCUCGUGUCGUGAGAUGUCCGGUUAAGUCCGGUAACGAGCGCAACCCUUGCCGUAUGUUAUACGUGUCAUACGGGACUGCCGAUAUAAAAUCGGGGGAAGGAGGGGAUGACGUCAAGUCAGCAUGGCCUUUAUGUCCAGGGCUACACACACGCUACAAUGGCCAGUACAAUAGGUUGCAAAGCCGCGAGGCGGAGCCAAUCCUCAAAGCUGGUCUCGGUUCGGAUUGCAGGCUGCAACUCGCCUGCAUGAAGCCGGAGUUGCUAGUAAACGCGCGUCAGCAACAGUGCGUUGAAUACGUUCCCGGGAAUUGUACACACCGCCCGUCACGUCAUGGAAGCUGGAAACACUUAAAGUCAGUAUCCUAACCCUAACGGGAGGGAGCUGCCAAAGGUGGGUCUGGUAACUGGGACGAAGUCGUAACAAGGUAGGUGUAGCGGAAGCUGCGCCUGG
rnacentral:rRNA from 1 species